ensembl:lncRNA
UCUAGAAACCUAUGUUUUUUUUUUUUUUUACAGUAAGUCUUCUUAAAUCCACAGAGGAAAAGGUAUGUCAUUACUUAACAGAUCUACACCUGAUUCAACCACCACAGGAAACUCGUCAGCUUUGUCUUUUUCAAGAAUCAAGGUCUUGGUGACCUCCAACAAGUGCCCUUACAGACCCGCGACAAGGGGCCUUGGUGACCUCUGACGUGUGCCCUUACAGACCCCGACAAGGGGUCUUGGUGACCUCCAACAAGUGCCCUUACAGACCCGCGACAAGGGGCCUUGGUGACCUCUGACAAGUGCCCUUACAGACCCGCGACAAGGGGCCUUGGUGACCUCUGACAUGUGCUCCUUCAGACCCCGACAAGGGGCCUUGGUGACCUCUGACAAGUGCCCUUACAUACCCGUGACAAGGGGUCUUGGUGACCUCUGACAAGUGCCCUUACAGACCCCGACAAUUGGGUCUAGUGACCUCUGACAGGUGCCCUUACAGACCCCAACAAGGGGUCUUGGUGACCUCUGACAAGUGCUCCUUCAGACCCCAACAAAGGGUCUUGGCGACCUCUGACAAGUUCCCUUACAAACCCCGACAAGUGCCCUUACAGACCCACGACAAGUGGUCUUGGUGACGCCGACAAGUGCUCUUACAGACUCGCAACAAGUGGUCUUGGUGACCCCCGACAAGUGUCCUUACAGACCCCGACAAGUGGUCUUGGUAACCCCCGACAAGGAGUCUUGGUGAACUCUGACAAGUGCCCUUACAGACCCGCAACAAGUGGUCUUGGUGACCCCCGACAAGGAGUCUUGUUGACCUCUGACAAGUGCUCUUACAGACCCGCAACAAGUGGUUUAGGUGACCCCGACAAGGGCUCUUACAGACCCGCAACAAGUGGUUUUGGUGAACCCCGACAAGUGCCCUUACAGACCCGCAACAAGUAGUCUUGGUGACCCCGACAAGUGCCCUUACAGACCCGCAACAAGUGGUCUUGGUGACCCCGACAAGUGCCCUUACAGACCCGCAACAAGUGGUCUUGGUGACCCCCGACAAGUGCCCUUACAGACCCGUGACAAGUGGGGGAGAAACUAUUUUGACAUUAAAAUUAUUUUUUUUUUAAAACAUCGUGAACUUCUUGUGAGUUUUUAUUUACUCAAGUGUGUGUGUGUGUGUGUGUGUGUGUGAGAGAGAGAGACACUUCUCAUGGUGUGGUGGCAGUUAUCGUCUGUGUGUCGCAUACUCUGCAGGACUCGUGGAAACAGACAUCAGAAUCUACAGCUGUUUUAACAAACUUCAGUUUCACAGACCUUCAACAGCUAAGAAGAUCCUUUAGCUUGUUCACUCUGAGAACAUGCAGUGUCUUCUCACAAUUAUCUUGAAGACUGAUGCCUAUCAGGAGUUUUCCAUUUGGAUUUACAAAAAAGUUCCAUUCUUGUUCCAUUUGAGAUUGAGCUAUUGAAUCCAUUUUGAGCUGUUGAAUCCAACUCUUUUAGACAGCAGUUAAUGUGCUAUGAAGUAUAAAGCAUAUUCUGCAUCUUUGAAGGAAGAAUAUUUACAGGAAACAUGCUACACUCUGUUCUUUUUUUUUAAAUCAAAGAGAAUGAAAACAUUUUUAGUGGUUUUUUUUAUAUCUUCUGAUGUCAAAUCACCUGAGAUCUUUGACUUUUCACUGGAUGUUGUUUAACUUUCUUGCACAUGCUCAGAUGGCAGCUAAAAACAAAACCCUCAUAAAGGUUUGGAACGAGUGUAGGGUUUGUGAAGAUUGAAGACUGGUGCUGAGGUGAUAAACCAAAGCCAGGCCUGCCUCGUUAUUACAUUAUCAGAGGCAGAUGAUCGAGCUCAUUACGAGAGUGAACUACACAUGGAAAGAGAAGCCUUAUGUUUAUGAGUUGAAAGUGAAUGCUGAUGACUCUCCCGCCAUCCAUCUGCUGCUGUUCAGUCAUUUGACUCUUCAUGCUCAUUCCGUGCUGUACUUGCAGACAUCAAAAACGCUGACUGUACAACCCAUAUCUAUCACAUCUCAAACCUGACUCACAAAACAACACCGUCAGAGUUGUCUAUCACUUCAUAUUUUAAAACUCUUUUAGGCAAUCAAGCAGUACGACCAUGUUAAUAUUUAAAUAUAAACUUGUUUUAAUGCUUCUGCAGUGUAGCCUACCGAAAAUAAUGCAAUAAAAUUCUAAAGAAAAGUCUAAAUAAAGUGAGUUUUGUGAAAGGAACACAUCAAUUUGC